GUGCCUUUCACCUCCUGCCAUGAUUCUGAGGCCUCCCCAGCAAUGUGAAACUGUAAGUCCAAUUAAACCUCUUUAUCUUCUGAGUCUUGGGUAUGUCUUUAUCAGCAGCAUGAAAAUGGACUAAUAUAGUAAAUUGGUACCAGUGGAGUGGGGUGUUGCUGAAAAGAUAUGAAAGCAACUUUGGAACUGGCUAACAGGCAGUGGUUGGAAUAGUUUGGAGGGCUCAGAAGAAGAAAGGAAAAUGUGGAAAAGUUUGGAACUUUCUAGAGACUUGUCGAAUCACUUUGACCAAAAGUCUGAUAGCGAUAUGGACAAUAAGGUCCAGGCUGAGGUGGUCUCAGAUGGAGAUGAGGAACUUGUUGGGAACUGGAGCAAAGGUGACUCUUACUAUGUUUUAGCAAAGAGACCGGUGGCAUUUUGCCCCGCCCUAGAGAUUUGUGGAACUUUGAACUUGAGCGAGAUGAUUUAGGGUAUCUGGCAGAAGAAAUUUCUAUGCAGCAAAGCAUUCAAGAGUUGACUUGGGUGCUGUUAAAGGCAUUCAGAUUUAUAAGGGAAGCAGAGCAUAAAAGUUCAGAAAAUUUGCAGCCUGACAAUGUGAUAGGGAAGAAAAAUCCAUUUUUUGAGGAGAAAUUCAAGCCAGCUGCAUAAAUUUGCAUAAGUAACAAGAAGCCACAUGUUAAUCCCCAAGACAAUGGAGAAGACAUCUCCAGGACAUAUCAGAGGUCUUCACAGCAGCCCCUCCCAUCGCAGGCCCAGAGGCCUAGGAGAAAAUGGUUUCCUGGACUGGGCCCAGGGCCGGUCUGCUCUGUGCAGCGUAGGGACUUGGCACCCUGUGUCCCAGCUACUCCAGUAGUGGCUGAAAGGGGCCAAAGUACAGCUUACGCCAUGGCUUCAGAGGGUGCAAGCGCCAAGCCUUGGCAGCUUCCGCAUGCUGUUGAGCCUGCAAAUGCACAGAAGUCAAGAAUUUGGAUUUGGGAACCUCUGCCUAGAUUUCAGGAGAUGUAUGGAAGUGUCCGGAUGCCCAGGCAAAAGUUUGCUGCAGGGGCAGGGCCUUCAUGGAGAACCUCUGCUAGGGCAGUGUGGAAGGGAAACAUGGGGUCUGAGCCCCCACACAGAAUCCCUACUGAGGCAUCACCUAGUGGAGCUGUGAGAAAAGAGCCACCAUCCUCCACACUCCGGAAUGAUAGAUCCACCAACAGCUUGCACCAUGCACCUGGAAAAGCCGCAGACAUUCAACACCAGCCCGUGAAAGCAGCCAAAAGGGGGACUAUAUCCUGCAAAGCCACAGGGGAGGAGCUUCCCAAGACUAUGGGAACCUACCUCUUACAUCAGCAUGACCUUUGUGUGAGACCUGGAGUCAAAGGAGAUCAUUUUGGAGCUUUAAAAUCUGACUGCCCUGCUGGAUUUCAGACUUGCAUGGGCCCUACAACCCCUUUGUUUUGGCCGAUUUCUCCAAUUUGGAAAGGCUGUAUUUACCCAAUACCUGUACCCGCAUUGUAUCUUGGAAGUAACUAGCUUGCUAUUGAUUUGACAGGCUCAUAGGCAGAAAGGACUUGCCUUGUCUCAGAUAAGACUUUGGACUGUGGACUUUUGGGUUAAUGCUGAAAUGAGUUAAGACUUUGGGAGACGUUUGGGAAGGCAUGAUUGGUUUUGAAAUGUAAGGACAGGAGAUUUGGAGGGGCCACAUGUGGAAUAAUAUGAUUUGGUUGUGUCCCCACCCCAAUCUCAUCUUGAAUUAUACUCCCAUAAUUCCCAUGUGUUGUGGGAGGGAACUGGUGGGAGAUAAUUUGAAUCAUGGGAGCAAUUUCCCCCAUACUGUUCUCAUGGUAGUGAAUAAGUCUCAUGAGAUCUGAUGGUUUUAUCAGGGGUUUCUGCUUUUGCAUCUUCCUCAUUUUCUCUUGCUGCUGCCAUGUAAGAAGUGCUUUUCGCCUCUCGCCGUGAUUUUGAGGCCUCCCUAGCCAUGUGGAACUGUAAGUCCAAUUAAACCUCUUUUUCUUGCCAGU
rnacentral:lncRNA from 1 species